UACAGAGGUCUCAAGCGUUGUUCGGAUUCAUUGGGCGUAAAGGGUGCGUAGGCGGCGCGGUACGUCGGGUGUGAAAGCCCGGGGCUUAACCCCGGGUCUGCAUUCGAUACGGGCUAGCUAGAGUGUGGUAGGGGAGAUCGGAAUUCCUGGUGUAGCGGUGAAAUGCGCAGAUAUCAGGAGGAACACCGGUGGCGAAGGCGGAUCUCUGGGCCAUUACUGACGCUGAGGAGCGAAAGCGUGGGGAGCGAACAGG
rnacentral:rRNA from 1 species